GUUAAAAUUGACAAAAAAAAUAAAAAGUGCCUUAUUAUCCCCUUUUCCAUUGCACAGAAAGAUUCAAUGGUUCCAUUGAAAUCCGAAAACUGAAGCUUUCAAGACAGUUUACACCAGAGCCGAAACACAUCGCAAAGCCUCUACAUAAGGAAAAAAAAAAAAAACUCAGCGGAGCGUGUACUCGCAGUCGAGCAACCGGGAGAAUAUAUCUUCACAGCUUGGCCGUUCAUGCGGUUCUGCCCAACAAUCUGAAAUUAACCUGCCCAGUGGACCGUCAGUAAUCUCCAAACGGGAUCCCUCGUUAGCAACAGCAUAAACUACCCUUUCUGGUGGCACUCCUUCCCAUGGUCUAUUCAGUGUGCAAAGCUCCCACAUUAUUACCCCAAGGCUGAAAAUAUCACAUUUUUC
rnacentral:misc_RNA from 1 species